rnacentral:rRNA from 1 species
UACGUAGGGGGCAAGCGUUGUCCGGAUUUAUUGGGCGUAAAGAGCGUGUAGGCGGCCUGGAAGGUCAGCUGUGAAAACUCGAGGCUCAACCUCGAGACGUCGGUUGAAACCACCUGGCUAGAGUCCGGAAGAGGAGAGUGGAAUUCCCGGUGUAGCGGUGAAAUGCGCAGAUAUCGGGAAGAACACCCGUGGCGAAGGCGGCUCUCUGGGCCGUAACUGACGCUGAGGAGCGAAAGCAUGGGGAGCGAACAGG